rnacentral:tRNA from 1 species
GCCGACGUAGCUCAGUUGGUAGAGCACUUCACUCGUAAGAGAGUGCGACACUUCGACGUGUCGGCCAGCA